rnacentral:rRNA from 3 species
UACGUAUGGUGCAAGCGUUAUCCGGAUUUACUGGGUGUAAAGGGUGCGUAGGUGGUGAGACAAGUCUGAAGUGAAAAUCCGGGGCUUAACCCCGGAACUGCUUUGGAAACUGCCUGACUAGAGUACAGGAGAGGUAAGUGGAAUUCCUAGUGUAGCGGUGAAAUGCGUAGAUAUUAGGAGGAACACCAGUGGCGAAGGCGACUUACUGGACUGCUACUGACACUGAGGCACGAAAGCGUGGGGAGCAAACAGG